GGCCCUUCGGGGUACUCGAGCGGCGAACGGGUGAGUAACACGUGAGUAAUCUGCCCUUAGCUCUGGGAUAGCUCCGGGAAACCGGGAUUAAUACCGGAUACGACCACCUUAGACAUCUUUUGUGGUGGAAAGAAUUUCGGCUAGGGAUGAGCUCGCGGCCUAUCAGCUUGUUGGUGGGGUAACGGCCUACCAAGGCGACGACGGGUAGCCGGCCUGAGAGGGCGACCGGCCACACUGGGACUGAGACACGGCCCAGACUCCUACGGGAGGCAGCAGUGGGGAAUAUUGCGCAAUGGGCGAAAGCCUGACGCAGCGACGCCGCGUGGGGGAUGAAGGCCUUCGGGUUGUAAACCCCUUUCAGCAGGGACGAAGCGAAAGUGACGGUACCUGCAGAAGAAGCGCCGGCUAACUACGUGCCAGCAGCCGCGGUAACACGUAGGGCGCAAGCGUUGUCCGGAAUUAUUGGGCGUAAAGAGCUCGUAGGCGGUCUGUUGCGUCCGCUGUGAAAACUCGGGGCUUAACCCCGAGCCUGCAGUGGAUACGGGCAGACUAGAGGUAGGUAGGGGAGAAUGGAAUUCCCGGUGUAGCGGUGAAAUGCGCAGAUAUCGGGAGGAACACUGGUGGCGAAGGCGGUUCUCUGGGCCUUACCUGACGCUGAGGAGCGAAAGCGUGGGGAGCGAACAGGAUUAGAUACCCUGGUAGUCCACGCCGUAAACGUUGGGCGCUAGGUGUGGGAUCCUUCCACGGAUUCCGUGCCGCAGCUAACGCAUUAAGCGCCCCGCCUGGGGAGUACGGCCGCAAGGCUAAAACUC
rnacentral:rRNA from 1 species